rnacentral:rRNA from 1 species
AGAGUUUGAUCCUGGCUCAGGAUGAACGCUGGCGGCGUGCUUAACACAUGCAAGUCGAGCGAUGAAGUUUCCUUCGGGAAACGGAUUAGCGGCGGACGGGUGAGUAACACGUGGGUAACCUGCCUCAUAGAGUGGAAUAGCCUUUCGAAAGGAAGAUUAAUACCGCAUAAUGUUGAAAGAUGGCAUCAUCAUUCAACCAAAGGAGUAAUCCGCUAUGAGAUGGACCCGCGGCGCAUUAGCUAGUUGGUGGGGUAACGGCCUACCAAGGCGACGAUGCGUAGCCGACCUGAGAGGGUGAUCGGCCACAUUGGGACUGAGACACGGCCCAGACUCCUACGGGAGGCAGCAGUGGGGAAUAUUGCACAAUGGGGGAAACCCUGAUGCAGCAACGCCGCGUGAGUGAUGAAGGUUUUCGGAUCGUAAAGCUCUGUCUUUGGGGAAGAUAAUGACGGUACCCAAGGAGGAAGCUACGGCUAACUACGUGCCAGCAGCCGCGGUAAUACGUAGGUGGCGAGCGUUAUCCGGAUUUACUGGGCGUAAAGGGAGCGUAGGCGGAUGAUUAAGUGGGAUGUGAAAUACCCGGGCUCAACUUGGGUGCUGCAUUCCAAACUGGUUAUCUAGAGUGCAGGAGAGGAGAGUGGAAUUCCUAGUGUAGCGGUGAAAUGCGUAGAGAUUAGGAAGAACACCAGUGGCGAAGGCGACUCUCUGGACUGUAACUGACGCUGAGGCUCGAAAGCGUGGGGAGCAAACAGGAUUAGAUACCCUGGUAGUCCACGCUGUAAACGAUGAAUACUAGGUGUGGGGGUUUCAACACCUCCGUGCCGCCGCUAACGCAUUAAGUAUUCCGCCUGGGGAGUACGGUCGCAAGAUUAAAACUCAAAGGAAUUGACGGGGACCCGCACAAGUAGCGGAGCAUGUGGUUUAAUUCGAAGCAACGCGAAGAACCUUACCUACACUUGACAUCCCUUGCAUUACUCUUAAUCGAGGAAAUCCCUUCGGGGACAAGGUGACAGGUGGUGCAUGGUUGUCGUCAGCUCGUGUCGUGAGAUGUUGGGUUAAGUCCCGCAACGAGCGCAACCCUUGUUGUUAGUUACUACCAUUAAGUUGAGGACUCUAGCGAGACUGCCUGGGUUAACCAGGAGGAAGGUGGGGAUGACGUCAAAUCAUCAUGCCCCUUAUGUGUAGGGCUACACACGUGCUACAAUGGCUGGUACAGAGAGAUGCAAUACCGCGAGGUGGAGCCAAACUUUAAAACCAGUCUCAGUUCGGAUUGUAGGCUGAAACUCGCCUACAUGAAGCUGGAGUUACUAGUAAUCGCGAAUCAGAAUGUCGCGGUGAAUACGUUCCCGGGUCUUGUACACACCGCCCGUCACACCAUGAGAGUUGGCAAUACCCGAAGUCCGUGAGCUAACCGCAAGGAGGCAGCGGCCGAAGGUAGGGUCAGCGAUUGGGGUGAAGUCGUAACAAGGUAGCCGUAGGAGAACCUGCGGCUGGAUCACCU